ensembl:lncRNA
AAGGCAGCCUUUCCAAUAUUGCAGACAGCUGCUACGCCUCCUCUUCCCUCUUCUCCCAACAAGACCCUCCCAAGUCCUUCAAAUGCUUUCCUUAAAGGUCUCCAGUUUUUGAUCUUUCACCACCUUCUGAGCAUGACCCAAUCGGUCGAUAUGCCUCUUAAAACGGUGCCCAGCAUAUACCCAACAGAAUUGAAAGCAGGAUCCUGAAGAGAUAUUUGUAGACCCAUGUUCAUAGCAGCAUUAUUCACAACAGCCCAGUGUCCAUCAACAGAAGAAUGGAUAAACAAAAUGUAGCAUAUGCAUACAAAUGGGUUAUUAUUCAGCCUGAGGAAGGAAAUUCUGACAUAUGCAGCAACAUGGAUAAACUUUGGGGACAUCAGCUAAAUGAAAUAAGACAGCCACGGAAAGCCAAAUGCUGUAUAACUCCACUUACGUGAGGUGGUUCUUUCUUUCUGGUCCAGGACUCCUUGUGAUGUGGAAGAAUAAGAAUAAUCCACGGAGGUGGCUGUGUAAUCAAAUGAUGUGCUUCUCUGGGGAGCUAGCUACACAGAGUUUACAAAGGCUUAUAUUUUCUGAGACGGUCAUAUGGUAGAGAGCUUGGAGGACACAGAUGUGUUCUUUGCUCCUGCUGUAAAGGGACAUAAACAUAUCAC